UCCUGGUUCUGAAACAUGCAUAUUUUCUGCCUUCCAGGAGAGGCUCCUUAACUCAUUUGUUUCUGCAGGAAGCACAAGACGGAAAUUAAAGUAGAAAAAUGUUCCAUCAGUUUGGUGGCUACAUCCACAAAAAGUUUUCCAUGAUAAAUAUCUCUCCCAAUCACUCAUUUGUGAAAGCUGCAUGAUGCAGAAGUAAAUGUGGGUGUGGGUGAUUCUGUCACUGUCAUGGUGGUUUGGGGGAAAUAAAUGUUGUUCAUCUUAGGUCAAUGGGAUGGGCAGGACCAUCGGCUUUGUCUGCCCCCUCACGGCUACAGUGUCUGCAGACCUUAUUUUUUUUUUUAAUUGAAGUAUAGUUGAUUUAUAAUAUUAUAUUAGUUUCAGGUGUACAGCAUAGUAACUCAGUAUUUGCAGAUUGUUCUCCAUUGUUGGUUAUUACAAUAUGAUGUGUAUAAUUCCCUGUGCUAUAUAGUAAGUCCUUGUUGCUUAUCUAUUUUUUAUAUAGUAGUUUGUUAAUCCCAAACCCCUAAUUUGUCCUUCCCCCUUCCCUUGGGUAAGCACAAGUUUGUUUUUUGUCUGGAGUCUGUUUCUGUUUCGCAUAUACAUUCCUUUGAAUUAUUUUUUCGUUUCCACAUAUAAGUGACAUACGGUAUCUGUCUGACUUAUUUCACUCAGUGUGCUAUUCUCUAGGUCCACCCACAUUGCUGCAAAUGGCAGAAUUUCAUUCUAUUUUUCAUGGCUGAGUAAUAUUCUAUUGUGUAUGUAUACUACGUCUUCUUUAUCCAGUUGUCUGUUGGUGGGCACUUAGGUUGCUUCCAUGUCUUGGCUACGGUAAAUAGUGCUGCUGUGAACAUCGGGGUGCAUGUAUGUUUUUGAAUUAGUGUUUUCAUUUUUUUCCAGAUACAUACCCAGGAAUGGAAUGGACGUUACAUUUUUUUGCAGCGACUUUGUACCGAUCCAAUCGAUGGCCUUCAUUUCAGGAACUCAGAAGCUUCUGGAAGUGGGAGGAUUUGCCCCAUUGUUGCUGCAUCCAUUAUCUCACCGCUGCAGUUCUGCUGCUCCUGGCUCAUCUACAUCCAAUCUUCUGUUUACAACGAAGCCCCAGGGAGGCCGCUGGGCGAAAGCAGAGCCUGGCACUAGAGAAGCAUCCUGACAGAAUAAUGUCAGCAAGAGAGCGCUUCUCGCCAGAGUCUAGGACACCUCAGGCACUCCAUCAUCGCUUGUUGAAUUCAUAGGACGUUACUUACCUCAUGGAACUUGUAGUCUCCUUGAAAAAUGAGACACAUGUGUCUGCAUCUAAAUAAGAUGUGAGACAAGCUGGGACCAAGGCCCAGUGCUAGUUCUACAGGAAAUCGAUGCUGUCAUACUUGCUCUUCCUCCUUGAAGCGACCUUAUGACGCUGGACAAACAGGACAAACAGCGAAUGCCAAAACCACCCCUAUGGACCAACUGGGCUUGGGAAAAUAUUCAUGGAGACCAGGGGAGGUUUUUUUCCUUAAAAGAAGCCAUCGGCUGGGGGAGUCAGGGUUCACCUGUGAGCUAAGACGGCACGUGGGCAGCCAGCCAUUCAUGCAUUUCGAUGGCAUCUGAGGGAGAGAUGCUGCUACUCACAGCAUAAUUCAAUGGAAGGCUCCUCCCCGGGAGGGGAGUGUCAGUGCCAGGAAUGACAUCAAAGAUGCUGAUGAAGAUGCUGAUGCUGUUGCUGAUGAAGAUGCUGAUGCUGAUGAAGGUGCUGAUGCUGAUGAAGAUGCUGAUGCUGAUGCAGAUGGUGAUGCUGAUGCUGAAGUGUGGUGCUGUGGGAGUGUUGAAAGCCAGGGAGACACAACAUGGGACAGAUGCUGCUGGAGAAGGACACGUGAGCGGAGGUGCACGUGGGGCAACCGGCCUGUCUGCCUGCCAGACCAGAGAGGUACCCUCCUACUCACCUUGGAGGAUGAGGCCAGACUCUGAUCUCCCCACCCACCCUGGAAGAUGACGGAGGUUGGUACCACAGGAGAACAGCUCAGGCCCAUUACUGCGACCACCCAUCUAGGGCACCGUCUAGAAGUCGUUUUUGAUUAGAAGCUGACCUCAGAAGUACGCUCGCAUCAUUCUGAAAACAUCUGACAGCACCACAGAAACCGACGCAGAACGAGAAAGGACACAGUGGACGAAGGCCAGGACCAGGGCCUUCCCACACGGCUCUCCGGGCUGUCAUUGGCCUGAGUCAAAAUUGGGAUGCCAUCCCCUGUCAGACCCCCGGAUACCUGCAUUGACAUGGGGCCAGCUGGGAGUGAUAGUGGUGACUGUCAUCAUCGUGGUCGUCAUCGCAUGACACUGGCCGAUACUACUGAGUCCUUAUUACACCUGAAGGCCAGAAGUCCAAAAUCACGGUGUCAGCAGGCCGCGCUCCCUCCGAAUGUUCUAGCUUGGGAGGAAUCCUUCACUGCUUUCUCCGGUUUCUGGUGGCUCCAGGUAUUCCUGGGCUUGUAGCCUGAGAACCCCAACCUCUGCCCCCAUCUUUACGUGGCCUUUUCCUCCUCUUAUAAGGACACUUGUCAUUGGAUUUAGCCCCCCACCCCAAUAAUCCAGGAUGAUCUCGAGAUCAUUAAUAACGCCAAGGACCCUUUUCCCAAAUAAGGUAACAUUCACAGGUUCCUGGUGGGUAUUUGGGUGGGGGCCACCGUUCAACCUAAUACAGCCAAUAAGGCCUAUUUCCCCCCAUCAAGUGGGAGCUUCCUGAGGAUGGAAACUGUGCCCCUUCCUUCCUUCCUUCCUUCCUUCCUUCCUUCCUUCCUUCCUUCCUUCCUCCCUCCCUCCCUGCCUCCCUCCCUCCCUCCCUGCCUCCCUCCUUCCCUCUCCCCCUUCCCUCCUUCCCCAAAUAUUGAGGGAACAUCUGCCAUGUUCCAGGCUCAGUGCUGGGUCCUGGGGAGACUGAAGCAAUGCAAACAGGUCCAGUUCCUGCCCUCUCAGAGCUGACUUUGCAGUGGAGGGAGGUAGACCCAACAGAAGCCGUUACACCAUUGCUCAUGGCAGGCAGAACUACAAAAGAAGGGGGGAGGGGCAAGACCAGCAGGGUUGGGGGUGGGUCAGGGUGGACCAGCUCCAACCAGGGAGGUCAGGGAAGGCUUUGCAGAAGACGUGACACAUAGCUGGACCCUGGAUGCUGAGAAGGACCAGGUUGGAACCUCCCUCUCACUUCCUGGCUGUGUGAUCUUGGACAGUUGCUUUACCCCUCUCUGCCUCAGUUUCCUCGUGUAUAAAGUGGUGAUGGCAAAAACACAGUCUCCUGGAACCAUCCUGAGGACUGGGUGAGUAAACCCGUGGGGAGCCUUCACAGCUGCAGUGUUCCCAGUACUUGCUUCAUAAGCCAUAGCUAAUCCUCCUAAAAGAAUACUUAAAUGUUAACAUUAUUGGCACACUGGCAGAGAGCCAUGCACCAAAAACUUUUGUUAACAAUUGAGGAAUAUUUAUUUUAAAAACCAAACAAACAAAAAGGACCUAAAAUUAGUCAUCAUGCAAAACUCUGGAACGUCUCGGAGUUCCUUACUCUUAUCUUACAACUUGACUUGGGGCUUGUUUGAAUCAGGUUGGGGGCCUGGGACACCUAUUCUCUUUAGGGUUUGGGGCUUGAAAUCUUUGUAAAGGCCUGGCAGAGGUACCGGGGCAUGUUGGCCACUAUUUUGGGCAGAGCAAGCUGAGUCCUUGGAACUUUGGGACCGGCCAGCGGAGCCAGGGGUCUCCUACAUCGUGUUGACUUGGUAGAUGGAUGGAGGUCAGGCUGAAGGUGGUCCUGGGGUGAGAAGGGGCAGAGAAGCUGGGGCACUUGCAGGAGGCCCACGGAGAGCUCCAGGCCCGCAGGCAUCUCCUCCCAUCUGGGCCUCCGGGAUCCGUCCCUCUAGGGGGCAGUAGGGCUCUACCGAGAGUCCCUGUCUCGUCCUGCAGAGGCCGGGAGAAGCCCCUCGCCUUACAAUGUGCCUCGGUGUCAGCAUCGAGGGAGAGUUCUUUCUUUUUUUUUUUUUUUUAAUUUUUAUUGGCGUAUAGCUGCUUUACAAUGUCGUGUUCGUUUCUGCUGUGCAGCAAAGUGCAUCAGCUCUACGUAUAUCCCCCUCUUUUUCAGAUUUCCUUCCCACUUAGGUCACCACAGAGCACAUCAAGGGAAAUUUCUGCACAGACUUUGCCCUGGCUGGGCCCAGAGGAUAUAUCUUUGCACAUUCAGAUGUCUGGGGGGGAAAUGCUCAUUAGGAAGGAAAGUAUUUAAUGUCACGGUAACAUGUGAAUGUUUCUAAAAGUGGAAGCUGACAGCUGUACCCACUUAGGGAGCACUUCGGGGUUCCAGCCGCCAGGAGGUCAGCCCCCUCCAGCCUGAUGGGGGAAGGAAGUUGGAUUUCUAAGGCGCGUGCUAUUCACAGGGAGAAGACAUGCGUUUCCGCACUAGUGUUCGUGGCCAGGUUCAGGUUUUUAGACCCUGAAAACAAAUCUCCUUGACCGGUUCUCCCCCAUCUGCUGCUCCUCCCGUCUUGCUGGGGGAACCAGGGUAGCCCCUGGCUGUGUUUUGAUGUAGCACUGUGACCCCAAAGAUCCGAGACUCAUGGGCGGCACCCUCCCCCCCACCCCGUGGUGUGGCCUUAUGGUCCACUCUGGGGGCAGGGGCAGGGGUAUGGGUACAUCUGCAUGGGGCGCACACAGUCCUGGGUUCAGGUCCUAAAUCUGCCACUUCAUGCUGUGUGGUCAUCAGCAGGGUCCCCAUGGAGCCUCCCACCUCACCUGAAAAACAAGGAGAGACCUGCCCUGCAGGGUGACUUAUUUCUGGACGUGAUUCCAGUGACACGAUUCCUGGAACGGGCUUAGUGGGGUGCCAGGUGCACCCUGACAUUCACCAUCACACCACCAGCCACCCUUCCAGCUCCCACCCCGCUGCCUACUCCAGCCCGCCUUCCCUGACCUCUACCACUUCCCACUUCCCUGGCACUCCAUCCCUUCUCUAUUUACUGUUUACAGUCUGUCUCCAGCUGGAAUAUGAGCUCUACCCUGCCUUAUGCAGGACACAUAUUCAACAUCAAUAAAUAUUGUUGAGGGACUUCCCUGGUGGUCCAGUGGUUGAGUUGCCGUGCUUCCAGUGCAGGGGAAGUGGGUUUGAACCCUGCUCGGGGAACUAAGAUCCCACAUGCCGUGAGGCCAAAACCAAAACCAAACCAAAACAACAACAUCAGCAACGAAACAUACAUACAUACGCACGUACGUACAUGCGUACAUAAAUAUUGUUGAGUGCACGCAUGAGGGAAUGGGAGCUCUAACCCAGUUGUCAGUUUCCCCGGCUGUGCAGUGAGGAUGAUGCUACUAGAAGUCUCUAGGUGGCUUUGGAUGCAUCAAACCCUUGUGUGAGCACCUGGCCCAGGCGCUCAGCAGAUGCAAGUUCAUGUCCCCAGCUGUCGGCUUUAUAAUACAGGCAGGAGAACGGCCCCUCCACCAGCCCUCGAGGGCAGCCACACAGACUCAGCCAGUGAGGCCUGAGCGGGAUCUCUGCACAUUGGAUCCUUCCACACACCAGGCGGGGAGGCCCAGGUCAGGGAGGCUGUACACACUGGUCUGUGUAAGCGACGUGCGGAGCCUAGGACCAUGUCCGCUGUUCCGCGUGAAGCAGCCGGGGGCUCUCACUGGGGGAGGAGCUGGUCCAUGGCGGGUGACAGACCCUCACCCGUGGUGGCCAAGAGCAAGGGCACACGGGUGGAUGCGGACGUGAGUCCCAGCCUGACUGCUCUUGGCUGGGUGGCCUCGGCAGGUGACUUCACACCUCUGAGCCUCGGUUUCCUGUCAGGUGGGGUGAUGGGAGCCCGCCGCUCUGAGAGCUGUGAUGAGAGAAUAACCAGUGCAGGAAUGAGAACCGUUACUGUGCUGAAUUCAGAGUCGAGCAAAAGAGUUGAGGGAAGCAGAGGAACGGCCCCUCAGAGACAUCCACGCCCUGAUCCCUGGAACCUGUGAAUGGAUGCUACCUCGAGAGGGGGGAUUAAGGUUGCAGAUGGAAUUAGUCGUGCUAAUCGGCUGACCUUAUGAUCAGGAGACUAGCCUGGGGGAUCCAGGUGGGUCCCGUGGAACCACAAGAGCCCUUAAAAGUGGAAGAGGGAGGCAGCGAGAGAGGACUGGACCUGCCACUGCUGGCGCUGAAGACGGAGGAAAGGGCCAUGAGCCACGGCAUGUGAGUGGCCACCAGAAGCUAGAAAAGGCAGAAGAACCCUGGAGUUUGCAGAAGGAAUGCAGCCCUGCCAACACACUGAUUGUGGCGCAGAGGCUUCUGACCUCCCAGACUGUGAGAUGGUGACUCUCUGUUGUCUUAAGGCAUAAGUUUGUGGUAGUUUGUUAGUGCAGUUAUAGGAAACUCACAGGAGGGCUGCGUCAUGGCAGCCUCCACCCGGCCUCCCUCUCAGGAGCAGAACGUGGCAGAAUGAGGAUCAGCCUCAGACCUGCUGACGGGGUUAAAUCUAGUGGAACCCUGGCCCUUUGUAAGUGAGAAGAGACCGUCAAGAUCAUCUAGGUCCGCAUUUCAGAGCGGGAUGUCCCCCAGAUUAGUCCCGAGCGAUGUUCUGUUCAUAAUGGUCCCAUGGGUCCGUCGGUUAGGAAAUGCUGCAUACACUGUCUGGCUUUCAAGCAGUCACAGUACUCUUUUAUCUCUGAGAGGCUCUGAGAAGGCCUGCAGCAAAAAGCAAGAAAGGUUUUCUAACUUCCACUCAGCACUUCCAAAGAUACUGUAGCAUAAACCUUCUUCCUCCAAGCCUUCCCCCCAGAACUUGUACUAACAACUCAACCAAGCUUGUGUUUGGUGGAUGGGCUGAUCUACUCAAAUCAGUUCAUGAGACAAAUGGAGAAACUGAAGCCCAAACAGGUGGAGGUGCCCUGGAGAAGCAGUGCAGCUUCAACCAGCCACACGGCCCUGGGCAAGUCACAUCACCUCUCAGAGCCUCUGAUUCCUGAUGGAUAAAAUGCAGACAAGAGGGCCUGCUUUGCAGAACACCAUGGAUAGCUGUCUCCGUCUGUUGGGGCUGCUAUAACAAAGUACCAUAGGCUGGAGGACUUGUAAACAACAGAAAUUUAUUUCUCACAGUUCCAGAGGCUGGGAGUCUGAGCCCAGGAUGCCAGCAUGGGCAGGUCCUGGUGAGGGCCCUCUUCUGGAUUGCAGACUAUCCAUUUCUCCCUGCGUCCUCACGGGGUGGAAAGAGAGCUCUCUGGAGCCUCUUAUGUAAGGGCACUAAUUCCACCCAUGAGGGUUCCACCCUCAAGACCUAAUUACCCCUAAUUAGGUACCUCCUAAUACCAUCACAUUGGCAGCUAGGCUUUUAACUUGAGUUUUCAGUCCAUAAGCAAGGAAGUGGCCGUUGAAGUGGCCAGCACCCACCUGGUAGGUAGUUAGGCAAGAGUAGGUACUACUUGUAUUCGUUUCCCAUUGUUGCCACAACAAGUCACCACAGACUUACAGGCUUACAACACAAAUGUAUUAUCUUACAUUUCUGGAGGUCAGUAGUCCUAAAAUCAAGAUGUCAGCAGGGCUGGUUCCUUCUGGAGGCUCUAGAGCAGAAUCUGUUUGCUUUGUCCAGCUUCUAGAAGCUGCUCUUGUUCCUGGGCUCACACCACUCUGACCUCUGCUUCUGUCAUUACGUCUUCUGAAUCUGACCCUCCUGCCUCCCUCCUAUAAGGAACUCUGUGACUACAGUGGGUCCCCCUGGAUAAUUCAGGGUAACUUCCCAAUCUCAAGGUUCUUCAUCACAGCUGCAAAGUCCCUUCUGCCUUGUAAGGUGACAUAUUCCCAGGCCCCAGGGAUAGGAUGUGGACAUCUUUGGGGACCACUAUUGAGCUGACCACGCCCAGGAUGCCUCCUUUGGUGGCCCUGCGUUCCUCCUGCUACAGUGCAUUCUCUCUCUCCUUUGCUCCAGGCUGGACACCAAAGGAGUGAUUUAGUUCUAACCUGGGCUUCUGGUUGAGUCAAGUGCAGGAGAAAGUUUGCGUCUCUGCAGACAUCCCCCAUCCCUCUCAGACCAUCACCCCCAGGCCAUGCAGGUUGCAGUGGAAGAGCAUCUUAGAAGGCAGGCUGCAGCCAAAGAUUCCAGAGAAAACUGACUGCAAACUGUAUCCCUUCAUUCAUCAAAUAUUGGAGUGCCUGCCGAAUGCCUGGUCUCUCUUGGUGCUGCAGGCACAGGUGUGGACUGGACAGACCGGGCCCUGCCCUCAGGGAGCUGACUUCUCAUGGGGAAGAAGGACAGUCGGGGAGAGAUCACAUAAUAGGCACCAGAUCAGAAACAAAACAGCAGGGUAUGAAGAUGGAGGAUGGUGGAGGUGUGCCCAGUUUGCCAUAUGGGGCUGGUGAGGGGGAGGGCCACGGAGGCUGAAUCCUCGGAUUCUGGGUUUGGCAACGGGGUUGAUGGAGAUGUUAUCUUCAGAGAGGGGUUCACAGGAGGAGAGCAACUUUUUGCAGGCCUGCGGGGAGGUGAUGAGUUCCGUCCUGGGUAUGACAGUGUGAUGGGCCCAAGGUCCAUCUAACAUGGGAUGUCAGUGGGUGAGGGAAUGUCUGAGCUGGAGCUAAUGAACGUGGGCAUUGUUCACCUCGGGGUGGGUUCCCCAUGGAGGAGAAGACAAGAGGACCUGGGGCCGACGCCUGGGGAGCCUCCGUUUGGGCUGCAAAGGACGAGGAGCUGAUGGGUGGAAGCAGAGAGACAGGUGCACAAGUGCCCAGAAAGCCAAGAGCGAAGGAAGAGGCUCACGAGGUGGAGAGCAGUCAACAGGGCCAAACGCUGCAGAGAAGCCCGGGAAGGGAAGACUCGAGAAGAAUCCAUUUGGCUCAGCUGGAGGAGGGCCCCAGUGGCCUCUGUUGCGGCCGUGUGCCGGGGGCAGAAGCUGCAAAGCAGCGGCGGAGCGGUGAGCAGGAGUAGAGGAAGCUGGGACAAGACGCGUGCACAGCUCUUUCCUUGGCCAGGAAGUACGGAGGAGUCAGGCCAGUGGCUGGAGGUGGCCGUGGGGGUGAUGGCUUUUUCCAUCUUUAUUUCUGGUUUAUUCAGGCAGGGGACACCUGGCUUGUUUAAAUGCUGAUGGCUGGGAGCCAGGAGAGGGGGAGGUGAAGAUGAAGGGGAGGGGUUGACCAAGGUGCGAAGCGGGCGGAAGGAGGCUCCUCCAGAAUUCCAAAGCGGGGGUGGGACAGCCAUCUGGGAGGAAGGAACCAGUGCGGGAGGCCUGUGGGCUGGGGGCAGGAGGUGUGUGCAGCAAACACGUGGGCACUGGCUCUGGACCGUGCAGGGAUGGGCAGGUCACCAUGGGGCUUUAAAUCUACGAGUGAUGCGGUCCGAUUGGAGCCUGAGAACCAACAUCUGGCAGCUGAGUGAAUGGGUGGAAGAGGCCCAUCAACCUGUUAGGGACAGGGCUCCCAAGUGUCCAUCUCCUUCGUGGAGGUGCUGGUGGAAAUGCACCUCAUAACUCAAGAUGCAGAAUAUUUUGGGAGGUGGUAUUCUUGGAAGUUUAAAAACACAAGAUCUAGGGGAUAGACUGGGUUUGGAUCCUGACUCCCUUCCAACAAGCUGUGUGACCUCGGGCUGGUUACUUGACCUCUCUGUGUGUUUUAGUUGCUUGUAGCUGUAUAAUAGACUACCUCAAAACUUAGCAACUGAAAACAACACCCGUUUAGUAUCUUACAGUCCCUGUGAGUUGGGAAGCCAGGAGCCGCUUAACUGGGGCCCUAUGCUUGGGGUUACUUGUGGGGCUGUGAUCGAGGAAGUGGCAGAGGCCCGAGUCUGCUCAAGGCAUGACUGGGGAGGACCCACUUCCAGGCAAAGUCAGUGGCUGUUGGCAGGCAGUUCUCCCUGGGCUGUUAACUGAGGCCCUCAUUUCCUCACUGUCUGAAGCCAGAAGCCACCUUGAGUUCCAAAUGGAGUUUGUCAAGUAGGGAGGUGGAUAAUUGAGUCUGGAAUUCAGGAGAAGGGUCCAGGCAGGAGAUAUAAAUGUGGGAGUCCUAGGCACGUAGAUGGUAUUUAAAACCAUGCAAUCGGUUGAGGUCACCAAGGAAACAGGUGCAGAUAGAAAACACGUCCAAGGGCUGAGCCUGGGGGCAUCCCAGUAUUGGGGAGAUGAUGGGGAACCAGCAAUAGAUGGUAAGGAGAGGCCGAUGGAAAAGAAGAAGACCCAGUGGAAGCCGCGUGAAAGAAGCACAUCAGGUUUAACCGCCGAUUCUGCUGACCAGUCCAGUGAGACGACCAUGGACAACUGACUGCGUAUGUAACAACAACCUGGGGUCGCUGGUCACUUUGACAAGGUGGUGUCAGUGGAUGUGAAAGCUGAUGGGAAGGAGUUCAAGAGGGAAUGGUAGGGGAGAGGCAUGGGAGAGAGUGGAUACAUGCAGUAUUUCAAGGAGUUUUGCUGUAAAGGAAAACAGAGAAAUAAGACAAUAGUUGAAGGGGAAUUGUAGGAUCCACAAUUAUUUUUUUUAACAGAUCUUUAUUGGAGUAUAAUAGCUUCACAAUACUGUGUUAGUUUCUGUUGCACAGCAGAGCGAAUCAGCCACAUACAUACACAUGUCCCCAUAUCCCCUCCCUCUUGAGCCUCCCUCCCAACCUCCCUAUCCCACCCCUCUAGGUGGGCACAAAGCACCGAGCUGAUCUCCCUGUGCUAUGCGGCUGCUUCUUCCCACCAGCCAACUGUUUUACGAUCGGCAGUGUAUAUAUGUCGAUGCUACUCUCACUUCGCCCUAGCUUCUCCCUCCCAUCCCAUGUCCUCAAGUCCAUUCUCUAUGUCUACCUCUUUAUUCCUGCUCUGCAACUACGUUCAUCAGUACCAUUUUUUUUUUAGAUUCCAUAUAGAAUGGCCAUUAUCAAAAAAUCUAUAAACAAUAAAUGCUGGAGAGGGUGUGGAGAUAAGGGAACCCUCUUGCACUGUUGGUGGGAAUGUAAAUUGAUACAGCCACUAUGGAGAACAGUAUGGAGGUUCCUUAAAAAACUAAAAAUAGAACUACCAUACGACCCAGCAAUCCCACUACUGGGCAUAUACCCUGAGAAAACCAUAAUUCAAAAAGAGUCAUGUACCAAAAUGUUCACUGCAGCUCUAUUUACAAUAGCCAGGACAUGGAAGCAACCUAAGUGUCCAUCAUUGGAUGAAUGGAUAAAGAAGAUGUGGCACAUGUAUACAAUGAAAUAUUACUCAGCCAUAAAAAGAAACGAAAUUGAGUUAUUUGUAUUGAGGUGGAUGGACCUAGAGUCUGUCAUACAGAGUGAAGUAAGUCAGAAAGAGAAAAACAAAUACUGUAUGCUAACACAAUUAUUUUUAAGGUAGGGGAAAUAAUUGCAUGUUUCUUUUCUGAUCGGAAUUAUCUAGUAGAGAAGGAGGCUGGGCCAUGUCUUGAGAAGGUGAGAGGGCACGGAGGGGGGUGGUCUAAGGUAGGAACAGGACGGUUUUUGAAGUAUCACGAGGCAAAGCCAAGCGAGCCCAGGGGCCCUGAUGCUGGUGGGGCAGGUGCGGUGGUAGGAGCUCACGGCAGCUCUUUCCACCUGCUUCCAUGUUCCUCCCGAAAUAGGAAGCAAGGCCGGGAGAAGAGAGGGAGAGCAGCGGGAGGAGGUGCUGGGAGUUUAAAGAGAGAGAGAAGAUGUGAACGAGUCAUCCAGGAGAGUCAAGAGUGGAGGACAGGAGAAAUGGACGCUGGUGUCCUGGCAGUGACGGAAGCCCAUGCAUCACUGGCGGUCACGGGCUUCCUGAUAUGCACGAAGGCUUGGGAACCACUGCCCUAGAGUAGAAUGGCUGAAGGAGGAAGACAAGCAUCUACAGGACCGGAAGAAUGUAAGAAAUUGAGAGGUCGGGAAAGGAAAAGGAUUCUUUAAGGAGCAUGAAAUUGCUGAAAAUUAAGACAGGGGUACAGAGACUUCCCCGGUGGUCCAGUGGUUAAGAUUCUGCCUUCCAAUGCAAGGGGUGUGGGUUGGAUCCCUGGUCGGGGAGCUAAGAGCCCACAUGCUGUGGGGUACGGCCAAAAUUUUUUUUAAAAAAGGGGGUACACCUGAAGAAAGUGCCCGGACCCAGGAGCUAAAAUCACCAAGAAAUGAGGACAAUGGCCAGGUGGAGAAUAGUCUAGAAGUGGCAGAAAACAGUAAGGAGGACACCUAUCCCAGAGCCCAGUGAUAUAAGGGCUGUGGGAGAUAGCAGCCCCUCUGUGGGGCAUAGCGGGCAGGACAACGGCCCCCCAAAGAUGUCCACUCAUCCCUGGCACUUGUGCGUAUGUUACCUUACACGGCAGCGGGGACUUGGCAGGUGUGAUUACUAAUCUCAAGAUGGAACGAGUAGCCCGGAUUAUCCAGGUGGGCCCAAUGUAAUCACAAGCGUCCCUAUAAGGGGAGGCCGGAGAGUCAGGCGGAGGAGUACGCGGCACAAGGGGGCAGCGGUCGGGGUGAUGCGGUUGCUGGCUUGGAAGAUGGAGGGAGGCCCACCGGCCAGGAAGCGGAUUCUCCCCUCGAGCCUCCGGAAGGGACACGGCCCUGCGGACACCUUGAGUUUAGCCCAGUGAGACCAUUUUGGAUUUCUGACCUCCAGAACCGUAAGAGAGACACCGUGAUGAAAACACAGAUGUUGAACAUGGCUACAGCCUCAGCGUGAUUUCUAAGCCUGACACCUAAGGCUGAAACCAGAAAGAAAGAAAGAAAAGACAGACGCAUAGUGAGCCAUCACUGCGAUGCUGCAGAGGACUCGGGCUGUGGCCUCUGAUGCAGCAAACCCACUUUCACCAACAGACAGACAAUCCGAGAGCCAAGGCCCAGCGGGACAGCAGGAGGCACGUAAGCCAGCAAUACCGAUGCCGGAUGGUUCCUGGCAAGCGCUCACCACGUGCUACCUGAUUCCAAUCAUUGUGCAGAGAAUUAAAUAACAGCAGCAGCAUCUAAACAGCUGAGGCACAGAAAGGUAAAGCGACAUCCUCACUGUCCCACGUGGCCUCUCUACCCCAAGCCUCCGGCUCCCUGCACAGUUCUGCGCAGGCCCAGGACCCAAAGUCGAUAGAGGGGAUCUACAGCUGAGGCCAGGGGCCCCACUGAGCUCAGUGGGAAAACCACACCCAGCUCUAGCCCAGGUCCAGAGCCUGGUUUCACAUCCAGAAAGUGCGGGGCGAGGGGAUGGUUAACCCCUUCCAAAGUGCACAAGAAGGCCCCUGGGGGUUGGGGGGGGGGGCGGUGGUGGAGCUUUGAGUUGAUGAGAUCAAGACUGGAAAUUACCUAAGCACAGGGCACUUCCAGAGGUUCCUGACCCACCUGCCCCCUCUCUCAUUCCCCAAUGCCCUGCCGUUGACGGAGAGCCUUCCUUGACUGGAAACACCAAGCAAAGUGUACAAAACCAAAAGGGAGCUGGCUCAGGGCAGGAGCAGAGCUGCCGAAGGCUGGAACCUGGCGCUGCUGCCUUCUCCCUGGAAGAGGGUGAUGGGGCCACUGGGAGAGCAUGCAGAUCCCCAGAGCCUCAUUGCCACCCCUACUCCCCUCCCCGACCGAGAAUCUCAGGUAUGUCCCCUGGGGGUUCCCCCUCACAGAGCGGUGGGGUCUAGCCCUUAAGAGUAGGAAAUGUUGGAAAAUGAGAGAGGGCCUUCAAGUUGUAAAGUUUUCUCUUACUCAAAAAAAAUAUUCAAGUUAAGGAAACACACAGCUGGAAAACAAAGGAAAAAGGCAGAAGAUAUCAAUUACCUUUAACUUUGAUUUCUUGGAUCAAAGAUCACAGUCAUUCUGUUUCAUAAUAUGUUUUGUAUCCAGCUAAGGUGUGUGUCUAUCAGCUCUGAAAAAGAUUUGCAAAACCAUUUUUGAGAAGAAAAAAAAAAAUCACCUUCGACCUCUUAUGCUUCCAACUCAUGCUAAUAUCAUCAUUUAAUGAGUAGCUCUUCACCCAGGGCCGCUGAGAACCCAGGAUAGAACUCAACCCUCUGGCUGUAGUUUAAGCCCCAAUUCUAUAUCGUCUUAACAUUGGUGCCAGAAUUAACCCCAAACCAGGGUACUAAUCACUGAGAUGAGGGCCUUUGUACAAAGAGAUAGGGAUCUCUGAAAUCAAAGUUCAUCAGCAAGAUUAUGGUGGUUUGGGUUGUUUUUUUUUUUUUUUAAAAGCACGACAAAAUGGCUCAGUUGCUGGCGUAUCAUGCAGUUUCAAAUCACGGCCAACCAAGGAGAUAAAAUAACACUGGCAUCUGUGGCAGAGCACAUCAGAAAAUCAGAAUUUCAUGAUAGAGCUACUCAAAUGGAAUUCUCCCUCAUUUGACCCCUGCUUCCUUCUUACGAGUGAUACAACCUCAGUGGGCAUGCAAAUUCAUAAGACUGUACACGUUCUUCCUGUUUUUCUCUGGUUGGCAAGUUACUAUUUUUAUAGCCCCUGCCCAGUCAGAGCACUGAAGGCGCUUAGAAAGGAGACAGGAGCUAUAUAUUUUACAGGCAUUCAUUUUCUCUUCAAUUUUAAAUAAUCCCUUUUCAAUGGCCAAAUUAGAAGGCCAGAGUCCGUUUUGAGUGCUUGAGGUAGAAAUAUUUUCUGGGAUUAAUUUCUUGCAGGGAGUAAUCCCAACUUUUGCUAGAUGUCACUAUACUUGCAUCCUUAGGUAAACCAGAAUAGCCUCUCAAAAGGCAUGAGCUCUCUGAACGCUCAUCUUCAAGGCAGAGAACACUCAAUAAUGAGAUCUUUUCUGCAGUUCUUCAGUUGCAGGCCUAGACUCCUACAUGUUGGGCUCCAAUAGGGCUGGUUUGAUUGGGACUGGAUGGCGUUCGUCACGGGCUGCUGCCGCCCAGGACAAAAUAACCACCUCCUCAGUAGUGGCUCUGAAAACAGUCUGGACCAUGCAUUUCAGGCCAUCUCUUGAAGCAAAAAGGCCCACUGGCAAAGCCAGGUGCCCGUGGCCCGAAGGCAGCUCCCUCAUCACACUUGCCUGUCUCUACUCCACACGGGCUGGUUCUAAACCCAAGAGCAGAGGCUUGCCUGACCACUCCCUCAGGGCCUUAAAAAAAAAAGCCUCUAUCCUGACAGUGGCCAAAUAAUUAAUGUUUUCAGCCUGGACCUCACCCCUGAACUUCAGACUUAGAUAUCGAACUACCGGCCGGGCAUCUCACACUUAACACGGUCCAAACCCAUCUCCUGAUGGCCACAAUCAUCGCCGCCCUGCCCCCUGCCCCACUCGUCCCAUCAUAGGAAACAGACACUCCCCAUUUCCGGUGGUUCAGGUCAAUCUCGGUCACAGCCCACAUCCCCUCCAUAUGCAAAUGCUUCUGGAUUUACCCUCAAAAUAACAUCCAGAAACUAAGAGCCUCUGUCACCUCACUGCACUGGAAAAAAUAGUUCCAAGUAUCACCUCACUGCCUGGAAAAAACAGUUCCAAGGCGCUAAAAUAGUCAAGAUGUUUGCACUGUAUCCCUCUGUACGCAUUCAGGUAGCACUUGGGGGGGUACCAGGUGCCAUGGACGUGUCCAAGGUCACACCCUUGGAACGGCACCUUUGAAUCGAGGCCGAACCCCAGGCACCCGGCUUUUAAUAGUAGGGGCCGUUCCCUGGGAAGCCCACGCCUGCUCCCUUGUCAAGAGUUCAGAGAAUUUAUAAAGCCUCAAACUGAUAGGUUUGUCUGCAGACUUCUGAGGUGCAGUUUCCUGUUUAGUCAUGAAGCAGACACUUUAAUCGUCUAUUUCCUGGUGGGAGGCAGGUACCAGGAGCCCGAGGAAGGGCCUGUUUUAAAUUCAACUAAGACCUUUACCCCACCCCGAGCCGCCCUGCUCUGUAGGGGGCUGUUCACGUGCCCUAUUUAAUCCUCACAGCCAUCUCUGGGGGUUGGGGCUACGAUGCCCAUUUCUCAGGUCAAGUUACUGAGGCAGAGAAAGAUGGAGUGAUCCUUCCAGGAACGGCACCGAGCUAGUCCCAGGUCAGGGCUUCCACAUGUGUAAGGUCAUCAAGCUCCCCUGGGGGCUGAGUUAAGAUGCAGUUUUGCCUCAGAAGGGCUUGACACAAAAGCGCUGUCAAUACACCCGUGUAAGUCUCACGACCUCUCUCUGAGCCUCAGUUUUCCCACAAAACGGAUCAGAAUACCUCCUGGAGAGACUGCUGUCAGGAUUGAAGGAGAUGAUGUAGCUGGCUUAUUCAUAGACAGAUGUUUACUAACUCUGCAAUACGGACCCAUAGAGAAGAUGGAAGAAUGAGAGAGAAGAUGUGGAAGGAGACAGACCAGUCCAAUCCAAUCCUCUUCCACUAACCAAGAAUACAACGCUAUUUCCCUACAUGUUUAAAGAAGUCGUCUGUUCCGUUGAUCAGCUGUUAGUAACAUGGAGGUAGACAUCGAGGGAGAAGGCAGCAUCUCGACUUAGGAUAUGUUACCUAGGUGACACCUAGAAACACGCCCAAAGACAGGGAGAGAGGCCUCUGGUCCCAGAAUCACUGCCCCAUUGUUGUGGUCUUUUAUGAGACUACCACUGAAGACCUAUAUAGUGAUGGUACAUUUUUACAAUCCUCGCAUAAAUCAGUGAAUUGUCCUGCUAGUCUCAUGGGUUAGGUGAUGAUUUAGGAUAGGGAUUGGAAAUGGUUCACUGAUUAAUCAACACGAAUAAUUAACACGAAAGUGCAAGGUGUCAACAGAUAAAAUACGAAAAUACUCAAUUUGUCACCCUGACAAAUUCUACAACUAGCUUCCACCCUCCUGAGAGCACAGGCACAUCUCUAAAUGGACGGCAUCAGAGGAGAAAACCUGUGUGCAUCUGCAUCGUAGGGGUUAGACUGCUCUAGGGUACGUUCAGUUUAAUGGUUCUUUAAUGAAAACACCAGGGUCCCUCCCAACCUGUGUAGAACGCGCUACCAUCUUCUCCAUCCUCCGCUUUUUCCAUGAUUACGCGUCAACUUACAAGCUAGGGAGAAACAACUCAGACAUUCUCUAAGCUAAGCUGCCCUGCGAGGGAGGACGAGACAACUGUAUGAACUCAGACCUGAGUUGAGCUGAGCUGCUCUGCCCGGUCCUUUUCUCCGAUUCAGCAGAAUUUCUUCCGACUACAUGCAGCUAAGAGGCACCUCUCCUAUCAAGCAACCACAUGGCUUCUAAGGCAGCAACCACAGGCAGGAAAGCAUUCUAAACAAACCACGGCUUGCCCCCUGGUCCUCCUGAAGCUUCCUCACAGCCUCGGCCCCAAAGCUCUGCUGAGAGGCGGCAGCCACAAAGCAAGCACUGCAACAUGGGCUGCUGCCUUUCAGAACUAAAACAGAAGCAAAAAGAAAAGCACUUGUUACUACGGCCAGUUGAGAUUCGGGAAAGAAACAGUGACCCAAACCCACAGUUCAGCUCAGCCUGCAACCACAAAUGAGAUGAGAAAAUAAAUACCUAAUUGUUUGGGAAGCCAUCUUUCUCUUUGGAGGUUGGCGGAAUUAACCAGACAUUUUUGUGAAGACAUUUGCGUUUCCUUAGCCUUGCGUAUGCGGCAGAGAGAACUGAAGGCGGGUCAGACACGCCAGGUGGGUUAAGGGGGGGGGAGCGUGGAGCAGAAGAAACAUCUCCAUCCUGAGCUACUUUCCUCAUGUCACAGAAUCUCACAGAAGUUCCCCGAGGCCUUUGAGAAGAGGUCCAAAAUCCCAGGCCUGCCUCAAGUGAACUUUCCUUCGAAAACCAGCACAGCCCCUGCUGCUUGCAACAGAUUCGUGGGAUAUUUAUGGAAUCUUCUAGCCUAGUCUGCACCUUAUCCUUCCAUAAAUUCACCUUCCAGAUCAUUCUGUGUCCUCCCAUGUGUCACGACCAGCUCACAGCACGGCACCACCACCCCCCUCCCCACAGUCAAGAAGGGUACCCGUACAUACAUCCACAUGUUUCCAAAGCCCGACAUAAGCCCACGUGCCGUAAGGAGGCAGCCUGACCCACUUCACGCUGCCAUCAGUCUUACGCAUUUUGUCCUGUCUCCCUCUCAACUCCCUCAGCCCAGUCUGGUGUGAGAACCGACUGACCUGUAGACCGUCCCCACGUGCACUCGGCAAGCCCUAACUACAGGACCCACCUGAUAGCCCACCCGCACCAGCCUGCACAGGGAGACAGAGGACGAUGGUGCAGGGCCAAGUGCCUGAGUGACAGCGAGAUAAACCUGGGACCCCUGGGCUCCCCAGCCCACCCCCUUCCAGGCCCAAGAAGUCACUAGCUGCCUGGAAAGAAAUUCCACCAGGUCCAAGCCAGGACCAGACCCAGUCCGAAAUUUCUCUAAGUGAGAUUCACAGGUCCAGGCCUGGCACAGAUGGCCAAUUCAAAGGCUGCCUGGAGUGACCAGCAAGGACUAUGUGUGUGUGUGUGUGACAUUACACCAGGUGUCCCUAAGAUACCUUAACUCUCCCAGGACAUGCAGACAGAACCCUAACUCCUGACACACUCCCCUCGACCAAACCUUCACCUGUACAGUCCUUGCUGUGGACUGAACUGUGUCCCGCGAAUUGCCAUGUUGAAGCCCUAACCCCCAGUGUGAUGGUAUUUGGAGGUGGGCCUUUGGGAGGUGAUUUGGGUUAGAUGAGACCAUGAGGAUGGGGCCCUCAGGAUGGGAUCAGUGCCCUGUAAGAAGAAAGACCAGAGAGCUUGUUUGCUCACUCAUUGGGCCCAGCGAGAAGGCAUGCAGGCUCACCAGCACCCGAUCAUAUGGGCACCCUGAUUUCAGGCUUCUGGCCUCCAGAACUAUGAGAGGAUAACUUCUGCUGUUUAAGCCACCCAGUCAGUGGAAUUCUGUUAUGGCGGCCUGAGCGAAGACAGUCCUGUAAGCGCUGCUCUACCCAAGACCGUUCCUCUCUAAUAUCUCAAGGUGUGCUCACGGGGCAGGCAUCUGCUGGCGAAGCAGCUGAGGUUCAGUGAUUUGCCCAAGGCCACACUCCGAGGCAGGGUUUGAACAAGGAGCAGGAGCUGCUGUGGCCCCAGUGUCCUCCACACCCCUAAACACACACACACCUUCGUGCCAUGUGGCUCUGUGCCGGCAAAGCCCCCCCUCCCUCCUGUGCAUCCAAAUCCCACUUCUCUGCCGCCAUCCAGCCUCAACUGCUGCCCGGGAUCCUCUGGCCAACAGCCCCUUCUCCCUUCCCUGCCCUCCACUGACCUCACGGAUUCAGCCUUUCUGUGUCUGGUAAGGUGGUACGUGUCUGAGGGUGGUGGCCACAGAUGGCCCAGUGCAGGGGCUGAGCACAGCAGCGAGGGGCUCACACCAGGGCAGAGCCACAGGGAAACACACAGGUGGGAGCCAGACUGCUGGGGUCCAAGUCCAGCCUGCCAUGCCCUGCCAUGGAUUUGAGGCAAGCCCUGACCCCCUCUGAACCUGCCCUGCCAAAAAUGGGCAAUGACGGUUCUUAACAACUUUAGAAGGAAUCAAUUGAGUAGACACAUGACAGGUGCUGUAAACAGCGUCCGACACGUUGUAAGUACCCCACAUUCACUAACGGAAUGUGAGUCAAUCGUUUCACUUCUUGGGCCUCAGUUUCCUCAUCUGUAAAAUGGGAAUAAUAAUGUGCAUCCCAGAAAGACGGUGGGCAAUGCAUACGGUUGGAACGAUGCCAAGUUAGCAAAAAAGAAAACCCAUGUUAGCAGCUGUUCCUACUAACAUUGUUAGUACGUAUUAGUCCACCCCACAGAGAACAUGUGGUUAACACACUGAAUUGACUGGUGACCAGGCCACCUUCUCUCACCAAAGCACUUUCACCUUGGAAGCUAUUUCUGAAUUUUCAGAGUGGGUGGGUCUGAGGUCAGCCCGGCUCCUAGAGGUGCAUUUUUACAUCCUGCCAAGGGGGGGCCCCCUCCCAGGCCACCCCACACGGUGCGCUGGCUGCACUGGGCUAGUGACACACACAACAGCCUCUGAGUCACCAACGUUCUGCAAACCAGAGGCCUCCGGAAGCCAGCCCUGGCAGCAGGCCCGCACAGCCCCCAGCCACCGACAUCUUACCAGCAAGACCUUGGGGCUUACGAGAAAAAUGCCGCACCUCGUCCCAAACGGUCCUCAGCUCUCAGGAUGAGUAAACAUGGCAGUUCUGAGGCUCCCGUUUCGAGUAAGAAGCCUAGGUGCUAACUGGGAGGAGGGCAGAUCAGCUACAGCCAAGAAGAUGCCAAGCCCUGAGGGGUGGGAGGAGGUCCCCUGCCCUGAGCCAGCCUCCAGGGAGAUGCACUCAUCCUGCUCUGGUCCAGCAACAUGAGACAGGCCCCACCUCCCAGCACAGCUUCUUGGGGCCUUCAUGCCAGCAUCCACCCUCAGGCCCACCCUCCACUCAAAUCAGACUUCACAAUGCAGAACUCUAAAUCCACGUGCAACACGACUCCAUCAAGGCCGAGAGAGAGCGGUGCCUGAGCUGCUCCCCAGGCAUUGACAGGGGAGCCUGGCCAUUUGGAAAGACCUUGGGGGGAGGGGGUGGGCAGGUGGCCACAUUCAUCUCCACACUUUCUAAAGGACCACGUGUGCACGGGCUGACGAAGCAACACUUAGUGGCACCUUCUAUGCAGGACCCCAGCUUUCACAUAUGUCAUCUCAUUUAUGGCCACCGACAGUUCUGUGGGCACAAACCAGUGUUCACAGAAGCUCAGCAUUAGCUGCAUCAGGGUGAACCCCGCCUUUCCCUUGCACAUGGUUACCAUGGUGAUGGAUCCUGGUUUUGGGGUGGGCAGUUAGCAUGGCUCAGGCUAUAAGGACCCUGUAUCUUGAAGCUCAAGACAUGGAAGCAUCAACCCCUCAUGGGGUUGUCAUCACCCCAUGAGGGCAGGGACCUCUUCUCUCAUUCACUGCCAUGACCCCAGCACCCAGGACAGAGCCCAGCACAUAGUAGGUACUCAGUUAAUUUUCCUGGAGAGAUGGUUGAAUGAAUGAAUGAAUGAAACACGAACUCCGAAUUGAUCUGGAUUUAACCAGAAUUUGCCCAGUUGAGUCUGGUUUUUGACGGUCUCCAGGAGCUGGUCUGAAACUCUAGUAGGAAGGUUGCUGGCCAGCUGUUUUAUUAGUUAUAGAUGAGAUAUCCUGAUACAUAUAGUAGAAUAAUAAUUACCAUUAUUUUAUUAAUUUAUAUAGCACUUUCUACAAAGCACUUCACAUAUAUUUAAUCCUCACAGUAAUCCCACAGAGUAGGUACUAACUGUCCCCAUUUUACAGAUGGUGAAACUGAGGCACAGAGCGAUUAAGGAACAUACCCAGCUUAUACAGCUACUAAGUCACAGAGCCAGGAUUCAAACCUACCCAGUCUGGCUCAAGCUAUUGAAGAUGGGAAUUCUUUUGUAAUUAUCAUCUGGCAGUCAGAAUUUGCUUCUUUGAGUGCAACUCUGAACAAAGACUGGUCCGUGGGAGACCGCAACUUUUAUCAGGGUUACCCAGUAGAAGUCACCCAUAUAGUAUUCAAGGAAAAAUGGGGGUGAGCUAACAUAUAUGUUUGCUGUAGUUAAUCUGGGGGAUGAGAUUUAAGAAGCAAAGAGUGACUUGGCCCCUUUGGGACCACGAUGCCACGCCCGGGGUACAUAUCUAAAAGGUGAGAUGGUGCUAGAUUUUCCUAAGACUUAAAGUAGAGCCAAGGCCUGGGGUUCAGAGAGAGACGGCAGCUUCCCGGUUGUGACUGGGGCCACCCCAGCUCGCUUCAGCUGGCAGUAUUCUCCUGCAGAAGAGGAAAGUUGAAGCUCACGCCUCACAAAACCACCAGCAAGCUGGGUUUCUAGAUCUAAGGAAACCAAGCCUUCCCAUGGUGUCAAUCUGAUUCUGGCUUUGGGCUCUGAUGGCAUAUAAGUCACCCUCUCUCCAAAGAAAGUAUAACCAUCUUAGCCUCCACAGUCAGGGGCCUAUCUAAUGGGAAAUCCAGGUUAUCCCAGACGGUGACAGAGGUGAGUGGCUGCCUCUAUCUGCAACUAUCCGCAGCUGGACACUAGUCAGAAUUGCAUUUGGAUGGACUCACCAGCCAGCACCAACCCACUGCUGGGACCCAGGGACCCCACUUGGCCUUGGGAAAGGCCAUUCCUUUGAGAUCAAAGAGUAUGCAUUUCUCUUCCUCACUCUCCUCUAGUCCCCCCAGCCUUCCUUCUACACUCUGCAUGCGCCAAGUAUACUUCCACCCCAGGGCCUUUGCACUUGCUAUUCCCUCUACCCAGGGUGCUCUUUCCUUAGGUAUUUGCAAGGUUCUAUCAGCAAGAUCUCUGCUCAAAUGUCACCUCCUCUGGGAUGCUUCCCUUAUGGAACAGCAGGCCCCCUAUGCCACACACCACUCUCUAUUCCCCUCCACCCUGCUUUACCUUUUUCCAUAGCACUUAUUCUAGCUGGUGUUAUCGUUUAUGUUUAGACUGUGAGCUCAGAGAGGGCAGGAACUUUGAGCCUUUGUGUUCCCUUCAGUGUCCCCAGUGUUGACCUCAUCAUGGCCAAAUGUGGGGUAUUGUAACAUCCGUCUCAGUAGAGCAGAUUCCAAGAGAAAUCAUGCUUCGCUGUCAUAAGGGAGAAGCCGGGGCUUCUGAGUUUUGGAUCAUGCUGUCCCCUGCCUGGCUCCUUAUCUGACUAGUGAAAUCCUGGCUCCAAAGUUCCACAAGGCCCACACCACCCACAGAGCACCUAGCACCGAGGGUGGUACACAGCUGGCAUAUUAAACCAUGCCGCAAAUGGGCUUAAGACAAGACUGUGGAAUCUGGAACCCUCAACCUUUGUUUUCCACUCAGUCCAACUUCAAGGAGGAGAAACUGUUUCUCCAUUUGUGAACAUCUCUAUCCUGAGCCCAUUUCAUACGCCAACUGGGAUGUGGCUAGAAAUUGCCCAUGAAAAGACCUUAGCAGGAGGCAGGUUUUAAGAGUAGCAUAUCCUCAGGGAACUGGAGACACUUAGAGAUGGGUGGGUCAGCCUUUCCAACUAUAGCCCUCUGUCAUCUCAACCCUGAGGAUGCAUCCACUGAGGCCACUAAGCUUCGAGGGGGGCGGUGGGUUUAGGGACCACCAUGAUGGGCUUGUGAGAUGCAGCCUAGCCCAUGCCGCAGGGCUGGUGGCCAGAAUGACAGCAAGCCCCUGUGAGAAGCGGCUCUAGCUUUACUUCUGUUAUAAAAGAUGACCUUGAGCAGGUUUUAGAAGGACCCCACAAACACUCAGUACUGUACAAUGUCCACUUUCCCCCAUUUCAGCCAAGGAUUCCACAAUCUAAAGUUGACACAAAGACUCAAUGCCAUGCUGUGGAGCCUGACAGGCUGACUCUCCAACGUGUCUGCAGAAAAGCAAAAAGACACUUCUGGGGAACAACAAGCUGGGAACUAAACCUGCCAGCAGUCCAGAAUAUCUACAAAGCGGCUGUAAUUAAGAACUGGGGACAAACUCUCCUAUGGAACAAAGCCGAGAGAGCAGGAAGGGGCCUGCACUUACAUGGAAACGAUAUUUACAACAUGGAUGGAUUACAGGCCCGUGGGGAAGGGACAGACUUCUCAAUAGAUGGUCUGGGGCCACUACUUAUCCACACAGAAAACGAUGAAAUUAGAAAUUUACUUCAUACUGGACACAAAAAUCAAAUCCAGGUGGAUUACAAACUUAAGUGUGAAAGAUAAAACUGUAACAUGUUUGGAAGAUGAUACAGGAGAAGCUCUCUUUAUGACAUAGGGGUAGAAAGGGAUUUCCUAAACCAGUUCUUCAGACUUGAGGAAUCACUGGAGGGCUCGUAAAAGCUCAGGUUGCUGGGCCCAACCCUAGUGUUUCUGAUUCAGCAGCUCUGGGUGGGCGGGGCCUGAGAAUCUGCAUUUCUAACAAGCUUCCACGUGACAUGCCUGUUGCCAGUCCAAUGACACAUUUUCGGUAGCACCGUCCCAAAUGACAUUCAAAAAGCUCAUUAACCUUUCCAAAAAUAAAUUUAACGACAUUAAAAGUUUCUGUUCAUUGAAAGAUACCAUCUCAACCACAGGAGUUUUGCAAACACUUCAGCAAUCUUACAGUAUCAAACGUUGGGAGGACGUAGAGCCAUGUACUUACUCCUGUGUUGCUGAUGGGAGUAUAAACUGGCACAACCACUUUGGAAGACAAUUUGGUAUUGUCUACUGAUGUGGCAGAUGUGUACGCCCAAUGACCAAGCAGUUCUACUUGUAAGUACAACCCGACAGAAACACCUCUGUGUGCAGAGAAAGAACAUUUUGGAAAGCACUGUUUGUACCAGCAUAGGGAAAAAAACCUGGAAAUGACCAAAUGUCCACCAUCAGCAGAAAGGAUAAAUGAGCUCUACGAUGGACUAUUACACGGCAGAGAAAAGGAAAGAAUUACAGCUACAAAAAUGACACCCUGUGACUGCCAAGAACGUAAUGUUGAAGGAAGAAGCAAGUUGCGGAAAACUACUACAGAAUGACUGCAUUUAUGUAAAGUUCACGAGCAUGGAAAACGCAGUGUGUUGUUCAGAGAAUCAAACAAGUGGUAAAACUAUUUUUUUAAAAAAAGGAGAGUGACAAACACAAAAUUGAGGAUAGCAACUAGUCUAAGGUGGGAGGGAAGAAAAUACACUCAAAAUUCCAUGCUCAGUCCAGGCGUGGAACAUCAUGGCUGUGAACACUGCUGAACAGAGACAGACCCCAGACACCUCUGCUGGAGGAACACACCACGUAUUAGGGAGCCUCACUCAAAACAUCAAACUCAAUCCGAUCCAGCCACUCAUCUCACUACUGAUUUACGGGAAAUGCUGAGGACAAAGCAACGACUGAUGGCACCUUGGGGCUGCAACCAGCAACGCCCAGCCUACAUGCAAACCACCUGGCUUCUUCAACGCAAAGAUGGCAGAGGGGAAAAAGAUAAAGGGGGCCUGCACAGAUGAAAGAAAUGGAAAAUACAUUUCAAACAACCACACCGUGUGGGCCUGCCGUGGAUCCAGAGUCAAGACGAACCGUGGGGAAAAAAUUAGGGCAUUUAUGAGGCAGCUGGAAAUUUGAGCAUUGAGUUUGAUAUUAAAGAAUUAUUUUAACACACUACUAUUUAUAAAGUAGAUAAACAAUAAGGGUUUACUGUACAGCACAGGGACCUAUAUUAUUCACUAUCUUGCAAUAACCUAUAAUGGAAAAGAAUCUAAAUAAGGAAUAUAUAUAGAUCUGUGUGUCAUAUAUAUAUACACACACACACAUAUAUAUGUGUAAUUAAAUCACUUUGUCAUAUACCUGAAACUAAUACAAUAUUGUAAAUGAACUGUACUUCAAUUUAAAAAAAUUAGACCCCAAAAAAGAAUUAGUUUCACUGUGAGAAUGAAAAUCAGAGAAAAAUUUUUGACGAGUGCUCUUGUAGAGAAACAUAACCGAAAGAUUUGCAAAUAAAAAAUGAUUUUAGAAGGCACAAGAGUGUAAAGGUAAUGGUUAUAUUCUUUUUCUUUAAACUCGGGGUAGGCACACGGUAUUUGUAUUGUUAUCAUUUUUUAUAUCUUAUGUGUGUAUAUAUAUAUAUAUAUUUUUUUUUUUUUUUUUUUUUUUGCGGUACGCCGGCCUCUCACUGUUGUGGCCUCUCCCGUUGUGGAGCACAGGCUCCAGACGCGCAGGCUCAGCGGCCAUGGCUCACGGGCCCAGCCACUCCGCAGUAUGUGGGAUCUUCCCGGACCGGGGCACGAACCCGUGUCCCCUGCAUCAGCAAGCGGGCUCUCAACCACUGCGCCACCAGGGAAGCCCUAUCUUAUGUAUAUUUAAUGAAAGUCAUUUGACAGUUAAAGAAAGGAGGGAAGAAAAGAAGGAAGAAAGGGAGAGAGAAGGAGGGAGGGAGGGAGGGAGAAGGAAGGAAGGAAGGAGGUGGGGAAGGAAAUGGAGGGAAGGUAGACAAACUGAGACAGACUACCUUGUGCCUACCACACAAGAACUCGGCUGGGGAACAACAGCAGGGUGCCCGUGGGGACUGGGGGAGGGGGCCUUCUGGCACACUUGGGGCAGGAGAAGGUCACCUCCUCUGAGAGACCCUGUCCAGGGUCUCCUUUCACAGCACCUGUUUCUCUCCUUCAUAGCAUGUCUCACCAUCUGAAAUACGUUUCUCUGUUGUAUUUAUUAUCCUUCUUCCCCGUGAGACUGUAAGAUCCACAGGGCAGGGACCGCCCCUCAUUCACUCAGCACCUGCCAAUUGACCUGGCUGGCCUCAGGUGUCAAGAAAGCGUGCUGCGUGGGGAUUCACCACACAGCUGAAUGGAAUCCACAAGAUGGUCUGUCUUGGUAUCGAUGGUGGGGAGAAGGAGCUUUGGAUAAUUCCUAUGGCACAAAUCGGAAAGAAACGGUUUGAUUCAUUCAGGAAAAAAAAAAUCGUGCGGGAGGCUGGCACGUUCUGAGCACUUGCUCUGUGCCAGGUUCUGGUCUAAGAAAUCUACAUGCAUUAACCAUUCGGUGUUCACAAGGCCCCCUGAGUAGGUGGUAUUAUUAUUAUCCCCAUUUUGCAGUCCAGUAAACCAAGACUCAGAGAGCUGAAGGGACUUGCUCAGAGUGACACAGCCAGCAGGUGGCCGAGCCAGGAUUUAAAUGCAGGCGGGAUUCCAGGGCGCAAACUCGAAACCACUCUACCCUGCCUUCCUGCCUCGCCAAGAAACGUUGGUUUAAUGGUAAAGACAGAAGCUUUUUGUUCAGACCUAAAAUGAUCAGAGUUAACCGUUGAAGUCCAAGGAGGACCUGAUUGAGGCAACUUAUAUCUUCUGCUGCCCAUUCUAGCUCUUGGGCUGUUCCUUUGCAUGCCUGAUUUUGGGCACGUGUGAGCAAACACGCACACACACAUACACACACACACACACACACACUCUCUCUCUCUCUCUCUCUCUCUCUCUCUCUCUCUCUCUCUACACGUGGCCAUAUUACAAACCACGGUGCGAGUUAGCAAAUCAAUGCCCUUUUAACUUGUUCUCUGCCUGGCACAUAGUAGGUAGGUCCUCAGCUAAAGUGUGGAGUAGAACUGACUAAAUUGCAAGACUUUGGGUUAGGAUGCCAAACCUUCCGACACAGAAACUAGAGGUGGCAACCUCUGCAUGAAAACAUCCCAGCCCAUUUCUCCCUGAGAGACCCAUCAGCAUGAAUGAGCCCCCGUGGGAAUUGGAGGCACCCACAGGAGGGGGCCCUAACCUUAUCAGUCACUCCUAUUUCAGCAGGAAUUACUUUCAAUGGAUUGCUUUCCUUCCUGCCGGCCCCCAACCCCAGCCCCACAGAGGGAACCCCGAACGCCUAGCAGCUCCCUCAGGACAGCAGUUGCCCCAGGGCUGUGAUCUACAGUUUGAAUUUAGGAAACUCUUUCCAGGGUGAUCCUGGCCACAGUCGGGUGGCAAGAGCCCACGGCAGGGUCCCCAUGACCUGUGCUCUGACAUCAAACAGCUGCGGGACUGGGGUGGGAGAGGGUACCGUGACCAGAGAGAUAGGACCACUGCGAAUGGGGCCAAAGACCUUCCCAGAAACUUGCCCUUCAUCGGAAGAGACAGGAAGCCAGCUUGUGGGGAGCAGGUACCCUCUUCUCUGAAAGGGGCCGGGGGUGAGCGGAAGCAGGGAAUUUCUGGGCUGAGGCAUGAACUUCUCAGAAGCCUGGCAGCCUGGAAAACACAGGGCUGGUUUCUGUUUUCUGCCCCCAGACAUGCCUGGAACCACAGCGGGAGGGAGGCCCCACUGGCCGGGAGAGCCCUGACCAGGCCUGGGAUGCAAACACUGCGCUGUUUACAGAGGGAAGCCCCGGGCCAGCUGAGAUGCUCACUCCCGGGCGUCCCCGGCCGCCAGCUGGGCCCACGGGGACGCACCUUCGGGAGGAACAGGGGGCUGGAAGGCGGCAGCCGGAAUCGGGGCGUGAGAGCCAGCUGGGCUGCCUCUUGGCGUGAAAAGGGGGAGCGAGCUCGCGGGUCUCCCUGCAAAAGAAGCGCUUCUGAGUCCAAAGCCAGCCCAGGCCAAGCACAACAGGAUACCAAGGGGAAUGGGAGGAGGGCAGAUGGAAGCUGCACCGUCCCAGCUGAGAGCAGCUGCCCUGUUCUCCAGGCAGCCCGGGGUUGCACAGGCGUUUCCAUGGCACUUCGUUUUGCUGUCACAACAACCCCAGGAUGGCCAGGGGCUGGGCAGGGCUGCCGGCUGGAAGCAAGAAAUGGAUUUUCUAGUGGGCCCAGCAGCCAGCACAUUUUUGAAGGCCUGCCCCGGCCUGGUCUUCCGACUCUGCCUCUGGGACUCAAGUCCACUGGGCAGUCUGAGGCCAGGAGAGCGUGG